GCAGACGUAGCUCAAUGGUAGAGCAUUCGGCUGUUAACCGAAGGGUUGUUGGUUCAAGUCCAACCAUCUGCG
rnacentral:tRNA from 1 species